ACGAUAACGGCGUCGAGCGGCGGACGGGUGAGUAAUGCCUAGGAAAUUGCCCUGAUGUGGGGGAUAACCAUUGGAAACGAUGGCUAAUACCGCAUGAUGCCUACGGGCCAAAGAGGGGGACCUUCGGGCCUCUCGCGUCAGGAUAUGCCUAGGUGGGAUUAGCUAGUUGGUGAGGUAAGGGCUCACCAAGGCGACGAUCCCUAGCUGGUCUGAGAGGAUGAUCAGCCACACUGGAACUGAGACACGGUCCAGACUCCUACGGGAGGCAGCAGUGGGGAAUAUUGCACAAUGGGCGCAAGCCUGAUGCAGCCAUGCCGCGUGUGUGAAGAAGGCCUUCCGGUUGUAAAGCACUUUCAGUCGUGAGGAAGGUGGUAGUGUUAAUAGCACUAUCAUUUGACGUUAGCGACAGAAGAAGCACCGGCUAACUCCGUGCCAGCAGCCGCGGUAAUACGGAGGGUGCGAGCGUUAAUCGGAAUUACUGGGCGUAAAGCGCAUGCAGGUGGUUUGUUAAGUCAGAUGUGAAAGCCCGGGGCUCAACCUCGGAAUAGCAUUUGAAACUGGCAGACUAGAGUACUGUAGAGGGGGGUAGAAUUUCAGGUGUAGCGGUGAAAUGCGUA
rnacentral:rRNA from 1 species